GACAGAACGCUUCUGCGCUUAGUGAUAUGCUCAUUUUCUCUAAAAGAACAAGAGGCCCACCCCUUUUUUAAGUGAACCCUUUGAGACGUAAAAGGCUUAUCACGUCAAGGGAUCCAGCUGAGGAGACCCUGCUAAUGCAUUUAAGAGGAGCUGGCUUCAAGAAAGGCCAGCAAAAGCCUCCAAAUUCCAAGCCUUUCUUCGAAUCGAAAAGAAACAAAGAAGGGUUGAGGAUUUCACGACACUCAAACGGGUGUGCCCCUCGGAAUGCCAAGGGGCGCAAGGUGCGUUCAAAGAUUCGAUGAUUCACUGAAUUCUGCAAUUCACAUUACGUAUCGCAUUUCGCUGCGUUCUUCAUCGAUGCGAGAGCCAAGAGAUCCGUUGUUGAAAGUUGUAUUGAUUGCAUACAAAUGCAAAGGACAUUCUACACUGAAUCAUGUGUGUGUAAAAGGCGCAGGCCCCUUCCGGAACCCACGCGGCGAUGCACAAAAGGGUGAGGUGGAUUUGAUUGUGUUGAGGACGACACCGACGGCGUGCACGACCCCCCCCCCUUCAGAAGGGGGUCAGCGACAGCCCUCGGGCCUCCCUCGUUGUACGAUAAUGAUCCUUCCGCAGGUUCACCUACGGAAACCUUGUUACGACUUUUACUUCCUCUAAAUGACCAAG
rnacentral:misc_RNA from 1 species